rnacentral:rRNA from 1 species
UACGUAGGGGGCUAGCGUUGUCCGGAAUCAUUGGGCGUAAAGCGCGUGUAGGCGGUUCGGUAAGUCCGCUGUGAAAGUCGGGGGCUCAACCCUCGGAUGCCGGUGGAUACUGUCGGACUAGAGUGCGGAAGAGGCGAGUGGAAUUCCUGGUGUAGCGGUGAAAUGCGCAGAUAUCAGGAGGAACACCGGUGGCGAAGGCGGGUCUCUGGGCAACAACUGACGCUGAGGAGCGAAAGCGUGGGGAGCGAACAGG